UACGGAGGGGGCUAGCGUUGUUCGGAAUUACUGGGCGUAAAGCGCGCGCAGGCGGUCUUCCAAGUCAGUGGUGAAAGCCCGGAGCUCAACUCCGGAACUGCCAUUGAAACUGUUAGACUUGAGGACGAGAGAGGUGAGUGGAAUUCCCAGUGUAGAGGUGAAAUUCGUAGAUAUUGGGAAGAACACCGGUGGCGAAGGCGGCCAUCUGGACUGCAACCGACGCUGAGGCGCGAAAGCGUGGGGAGCAAACAGG
rnacentral:rRNA from 1 species